CUUGCUUUCCCAAGAUUUUUUGCCUUCCUUCAAAAAGUACUUAUGUUAUUCCUCUUAUUCUACACCUUCAUGGUUAUCAGAGACGGGAAAAUCCCCUUCACAUUUUUGAAACGUCUGUAUUAUGAAUUCUUGACAAAUUUAGGUUAUGGUACAUUGUUCUGUCUGAAAUUAAUGGCAGCUCCAUUUUUAUUUGUUCCCCUUUAGAACAUCAAAAACACUUGAUGGUCCUGAAUGAACCACUCACAGCAUAUAGAGAAGUAGCAAACUCAAAUCUUUAAAUCUCAUGACAUUUUGGAAAUCAGCUUUUUCUUUAUUCUUUUUGAAAAACUUACCUAAUUUUCUCCAUUUUGUUAAAAGACACACUUUUGUCUCCAGUUGAGUUAAAUAACAAGAUGUUAAUCAUUAUGAGUAUUUUUAACAUUAUUUUCUCAUAAUGCCAUAUAAUGUUUUUAUUAUAAUCACUGAAGUUUUCAGGGUAUUUUGAAAGAGACUUAAAAUGGGGGUCAAUACUUUCUUCUUUAUUUUUGAGACAGAGUCUUAACGUCUUCAUCUGUUGCCCAGGCUGGAGUGCGGUGGUGAGAUCAUGUCUCACUGCAGCCUCGAAUUCCAGGGCUCAAGUGAUCCUGCCACCAGGUCCAGCAAUUUUUAAAUUUUUUUGUAGAGACAGAUUUUUGCUCUGUUGCUCACUGGCUUUUGAUUUCUAAGGUUAUCACUUUUUGGUUACUAAAGUCAGUGAAUUGGGAGGAUACUAAGUGCUAUUAGGGUUACAGAAGAUCCUUUCUAAGCAAAUGCAGUUUGAUACUUAGCAUUACUGGAUUUCUAAAGAAGGAGACUCUGUUGAGCAAAGGCUUUCGGUGGAAGUGGAAGUACUACCAAUUCAGGCUGACCUUGGGAAUGGAGAAGGAAGUUGUACCUAUGAAGAAAGAUAAGGAGCAGGAAGGCCAGGUGCCUUUGACUAACUUGUGGAUAGAGUUGAAUAAUAUAGCUUGAGCCCAUGCUAUAGAGAACCCAUGAGGUUGGGCAUUGUGUGACUAAUAACGUUUAGUGGUAUAUUAAUUAUUCUUACUCAUUCAAGAUGAUUGUCUUAUUCUAUACCUGAGCAUUUUGCUAAGUGGGAGGAAAAAAAAAUGAGACAUAUCCUCUGUCUUCCAGGAAGUACCACUCAUUCAGUGAACAUUUAUUAGCACCUACAAGGAAGAAACUAUUUAAAGUGUAUGAGCCAUGUGCUUUCACAUCUUGCAUUUCAUUUAGUCUUGACUCUAGGAGAGAUGAGGUAUAUAUCCUCAUUUUUGUAGUAGAGGAUAUAAUAAAUGUAUGGGGAACCUUUUUUAGUGCUUUCUCUUUGCCUUACUGAUCUUAAUCAGUAACUUUUUCUUACCUGAAAGGAGUACGUUUCAAGACCCCCAGUAGAUGCCUGAAACUGCAGGUCAUGCCAGGCCCGAUUGCUGUCAUUUGGAACAUGUUUCUGUUCUUGUUUUCCAACCUCAAAUUAUGUCUUUUUCAUUCAUCUUAACUACACACUGUGGCCGUAACUUUUGCAGUUUCAGGUUUGAUAGCAGAGCCAGCACAAAGUUCCUUUUCCUUCAGAGUUUCACAGAUAGAAGAUGUGUUCUUACUAUACAGAUCUUAGCAACCUCAGCAUAUGAUUUUUUUCCUUCCUUAGGUCAAGAGCUUUCACCUUUUCACUUUAAAAGAACCAUUUUAUGACUUCUCUUUGGCAUGUUUGAAUUGCCAUCGUCACUACUCCUGGGCAUUGGGGGCAUUGUUAAGUCACAUAAGGGUUACUUGGCACAAGCACAAAUAGAAUGCAACAGUUGAUGUGAUAACCAAGAUGGCUGCUAGUGACUAAUGGGCUGAGGGGCUGGGACUAUCUACAGUGUGGAUAUGCUGGACAAAGGGAUGAUUCACAUCCCAGGCAUGAGUGAGCAGGAUGACAUGAGAUUUCAUCACACUAUGCAGAAAGCAAGCAGUUUAAGAUUUAUGAGUUGUUUACUUCUGGAAUUUUCCAUUUAAUAUUUUCAGACUGUGGUUGACAACAGCUAGAUGAGUCAGCUCUGGAGCUUCAAAAAUAUAUACGAGGGUGCUCAGUCCCAACACCCUUGAUGAGUGGAUCUAAUGGUCUUCUUUUUACAACUUAUAUAGGUAAGUUGUGCUGGAAGACAGUGAUAGUACCUAUCAAGAAGUUCGGCCAGCUUAUUAAUAGAAAACAUUUUUGUCUUAGCGAGCAGGGUUAUUUUAAUGAAAUAGAAACUCAGGGUUGGAAGAGAUGUUUAAAACUGAUUUAAUGUUCAGUAUCUUUUUGCAUCUCAAUUUUCCAGAUAAUUUCAUAGCCACUACUAAGUCCCAUUUCUAAGCUCUGCAUUCGACAUCAAGAAAUAAAUAGGAUAGAGUCUCUGUCCUUAAGCAGGUCAGUUUAGUUGGUGAAAAGAUAGAAGUCAAAGAUUAGGAGGAAACAGCUAUAGUAGAAUAUAACUUGAGCUAAAAAUGAGGUAUGAACGAUAUAUUGUGGAAGCUCAAAAGAUAAGAGGUUUUACCUCUUUCUAGGGGAAAGUGAGGAACUAACUUAAUGCAUCCAGACAAAGCAACUUGUUACAGGGAACAUAGCAAUUUGGUUCUGGGCCUUGGCUAAAUAGGAGAGGUUGGCAUACCCAAAAAAAUAUGGUGGCGGCGGGGGCAGGGGGAGUUUGCAGAAAACGACUUGGAUUAUACCAAGACCCAUUUUAGCUUUAAAAAAAAUUUCUAAAGAAAGAAUCUUGGAGCCAGUACAAAAUUUGCAGAGUAGGGGGCAAGUCAGCCUUAAAACCAAUGGUUUUCCUUUGUUGCCAUUCUGUAUUUACUACCAACAUUUUAAAUUCUUUGUUAUUGUUAGUAAGAUUUGUAUGUAGUGGUGAAAUAUCUGAAUUUAACAAUAUGGUAAGAUAUGGUAUCACUUGUUUCAUUACGAUAAUUUAGUUGUAUAAUUUCAAAUAGCUUAAGAAAUAACAUAGGAGGCUAGGCACAGUGACUUGACACCUGUAAUCCCAGCACUUUGGGGGAGACCAAGGCAGGAGGAUCACUUAAGGCCAGGAAUUCAGGAUCAGCCUGGGCAACUUAGCAGGACCCUGUCUCUACAAAACAAAAUUUAAAAAUUAGCCUGGCAUGAUAGUGCAUGCUUUUAGUCCUAGCUACUUGGAUGGCUAAGGCAGGAAGAUCACUUGAGUCCACGAGUUUGAGGUUAGCUAGCUGUGAUUACACCACUGCAGUCCAACGUGAGUGACAGAACCAGACCGUCUCAAAAAUGAAAGAAAACAAAUACAUAGGUACGUAGUAGGAGGCACACAGGACUUAAUCACAGGUUUUGCUUCUUACUAACUGUAAGGUUUUGGAUCACUAGCUACUUGGAUGCAUUUUUCUCCUUUUAGUUAUAUAUCUUUUUUACUGCCUCCUGGGUGCAGAGUACAGCUAAAUCAGGUUCUACAAAUGAUACAGAGAUGAACAUAACAAGAAGUAUUUACAUGGUUACUAUAAGCCAAACAUUCUUCUAUUUGCUGGGGAUGAAUAAGGUAAUCAGUGUCUAUUCUCAUCGAGAUAGUGUACCCUUAACCUUGCAUUGUAGUGGGAAAACCGACGUGUCAAUAACUGUUGUAUACUAAAUGUGCAUAUAGUAGAUGUCUGUUUUCUUUGCUGCCUUGUAUGUAUGUAUUCAUUUUCUCCUCACAAAAACUAUGGAUAUGGCCAGUUUAUAGAACCUAUGAUGCCUGUGAGGCAUCAUUUUUAUAUUCAUUAUAAGAUGUACCCUGAUCUCAAAGAUAAGAAAAUGAGAAAAGUGGUAAAAGUCAGCAAAAUUUUACUUUUCAGAUGAGAAACAGGCACAGAGAAGGGUAAGAGAUUUCCAAUACAAAAUUAAUGGUAGAGUCAGGAUUUGAAUCAGGAGGUUUGACUGUAACACCCUUGUUCUUGCAGCUUCACAAUAUCUCCCAUAAAGUAGGGAUAAUGAAUUGCAGGCCACAUACUUUGAGAGUAUGGAUUAAUCAAAUUGAUGGUAUUGUAAAAGAUUUAGAGGAGGUAAUUGCUAAGCUGGGUUUAGAAUCAUGAGUGGGAUUUUCGUAAGUACGGGGAGGAAUGAAAGUAAUGAAGAUUUGAGAGUUCAUAUAAAAUUAAAGUGGAUGUGGUUUAACUUGACUUCUUAGCUCUCUCUGUGUUUUUGUCUCUUACCUCCAAAUACUGGUUACCCAUAUCUGCCUUAACAGCCAAAAAUUGUCCAUUGUGUCCAAAUACCAAGGUAUGUCUUUUGAGAUGCUCCCAUUUUCCAGAGUUAUCUAUGCUUCCUAUACCUAAUAACUUCAGGGCAGCCAAAGUAAUGAACACCCGCAGGACUAAAGCACCAGACACAAGUUCAUUAGUUGUUGUACUGUUUGGCUUUCACGAUUUCUUAACCCAGCACUAAUCUAAAAAAGAGACUUUACCAAAGUCCUACCUUAACUUUGUUAGAGAAGAAUUUACCUGGUUGCUAAAGAUAAAUGAAAUCCGGUAUAAAUGACAUAACAUAUUACUUAUAGAUGUGGGCCAAGUUAUAUCUACCAUAAUAUGAAGUAAGUGUGGUAUAUCAUGGCUAGUUUAAAAAGUUGUUAUUGAGUCUGUCUCACUGUGUUUAUAAUUUCCAUUCUGUGUAUCUACCCUGGUUUUUUGUUUUUUGGUUUUUUUUUAAAUUAAUUUUUUAGGGAAAGCGUCUUGUGAUUUUACCCAGGCUGAUCUCAAACCUCUGGCCUCAAAUGAUCCUCCCAUCUCAGCCUCCUAAAGUGUUGGGAUUACAGGAUUGAGACACUGCACCGUGCUUUUUGAAAACACUUAGAAAUUUUAAGUUCUUAGAUGAAAUUAUAUUUGCUUAAUGAAAGAAUUUCUCAUUCUAUAAAAGGAAGCACUCAGUAAUAAUAGUUAAUAUUUAGUGUGUUUACUAUCUGCCAGGUAAUACCAAAAAUUCUUGCAUGUGUUAAUGCAUCUACUCCCCAUAAAACCGUAGGAACUAUUGUUUCUCUUACUUUGUAAAUGAGGAGGCAAGAGCCCAGUGAUCUGCUGGGGCUGGAAUUUGAAACGAGGUAGCUUGCCUUUAGAGCCUGUACUCUUUGAACUAUUAUAUUUUUUUCUUGAGUGCUUGUGCAGUAUGUUUGCAGUCUUUAAGAAAUUUUAAUAAAUGACAGGCUAGGUGUCCAUUUAGAAAAACUGUAGAACAUUACCCCUUACAGCAGAUGUGAAAUGUAGAAAGAUGUGGUUUUGUUUGUUAUCAGAAGAAAAAUGUUAUAGAAACGGCUUGUUAUUUCUUUUUUACUGUAAAUGUUUAUGCUUUGUCAAAUUGUCACUACUCGCAAUUUGCAGAUUUUAAAAUGAUGCCAGGUUGGGUAUUCCAUCUAAAAUUUUAUUAGCAGGCCUUAAAAGGCCUUGGAAUUAUUUUAAUUACCUAAUUCUAAUUUUUUUAAUUUGAAUGGAGAUUGAGUAAUUACUGAUAAUAUUGUUUCUUUUGCUCAGCCUCUUCAAUCCUUUCAGUAAUAACUUAGUUUCUUGUACCUACAAGUCCAGAUUUUAUUACCCUUUAACUAAAAAAUGAUAUAUAAUCAUGAUUAUUAUAUUCUGUGUAUUAAGUGCACUAAAAAAUUAAGAGUUUUUAGGAUUAGUUUUUCACUUAAUAAACCCUAAAACAUUUGUCAUAAAAAACUGAGAAAUCACUGAUACUUGCCCCACAACCCUCACCAUCUAGAACAUCUCUUAGAAUUAGGAAGUAAGUUAAAAUGGCCUCUAAGUAGCAAAAGUCCAUGGGAAAGUUUACGUACUUACUUUUAGAAGCAUGUGAGCCCCUUGACACCUUAAAAAUGUAUUUUUUAGUAGCAGUUAAACUACAUACUUCCCAGCCAGCAGUAUAUUAUUGAGGUAGUGUAAGCUAUUUAAAUAAGUGAUGAUAGGCUUAUUGAAGUAGCUGUAGCGAUGGUAUUUUAGCAAAACAAAGGACAAACACUAAAAUCCACUUGGGUGAGGUGGUGUGUGCCUGUAGUCCUAACUACUCAGGAGGCUGAGGUGGGAGGAUUGUUUUGAGUCUAGCUUGGACCACAUAGCAAAACUACUUCUUUAAAAAAAAAAAAAAAAAAAAGGACACUAAAA